UAAGAGUUAGUUUUAUAUUAAAAUUUUGACCUGUGGAGUCGAGGAUAGCAGAUAGCUGCUCUUAA
rnacentral:tRNA from 1 species